CUGUAGGCACCUGUAGGCACC
rnacentral:piRNA from 1 species